rnacentral:rRNA from 1 species
ACGAACGCUGGCGGCGUGCUUAACACCUGCAAGUCGCACGGAAAGGCCCUGCUUUUGUGGGGUGCUCGAGUGGCGAACGGGGGAGGAACACGUGAGUAACCUGCCCUUGACUUUGGGAUAACUUCAGGAAACUGGGGCUAAUACCGGAUAGGAGCUCCUGCUGCAUGGUGGGGGUUGGAAAGUUUCGGCGGUUGGGGAUGGACCCGCGGCUUAUCAGCUUGUUGGUGGGGUAGUGGCUUACCAAGGCUUUGACGGGUAGCCGGCCUGAGAGGGUGACCGGCCACAUUGGGACUGAGAUACGGCCCAGACUCCUACGGGAGGCAGCAGUGGGGAAUAUUGCACAAUGGGCGGAAGCCUGAUGCAGCAACGCCGCGUGCGGGAUGACGGCCUUCGGGUUGUAAACCGCUUUCGCCUGUGACGAAGCGUGAGUGACGGUAAUGGGUAAAGAAGCACCGGCUAACUACGUG